GAAUAUUUAACCUAAAUACAAACAUACAAGCAUAUGACACAUUCAUAUAAAAAUCCACAAUAUUUCACAACGAAAGUGCAUAUACACAAUAGUUCACAAUGAAAGUCCAGAAUAGUUAACAAUGAACGUCCACAAAGUUCAUAAUAAUAAUCCUGUAGCAUCAUUGUCAUCUCUCCGAAAGGCAGGUGAAAGCUGUGAGUCUCGAACCGCCACCUACAUUUUAGACAAAUAUUACUUGUCAAAUAGGUAAGGACAAGAUGUAAUCACCAAAAGCAGAAAACGUUUAGGCGAAAUCAUCAUUUCCUCAGUUUAGCGAUUUGCUUCAAUUGAAAUAGAAAAAGACACUAUCAUCACUUCAUCACCUACUUGGCAUCGUCAAAUCUUUGCGACAGCAUAAAGUAAUCUAAAGUAAUCAGACUACGAGAAUUAAAAUGACAAUAGAAACAAGUCAAGCAACAGAUCCAAGAAUAGAAUUUAAAUUUGUUUGACAAGUACAAACACGUAGUUUGCGAAAAAUGCCGAGUGCUGACAGACUAUGAACUCCUUGAGUUUAAAACCACAGCUUUUUAUGGUUGUAACGGCAAUACAGCAACAUAGUCUGCCACUAUUUAUUGUCGUAUGCAGUGCGGAUCCUACUCUCAUGAUUUGAUAAUAUAACUUCUCAAGAAAAUUCCACGUUAUUCUAGAAUUUGAUCUUGUUCCAGUGUAGAGUUUCAAUACCAGGCAAUAAAAGCAUCUACAAAGCAUGCAGAAAACACAGGAUCGGCAGCCUGAAUUCACCAAAUACUAUCACCAAACCAAUCCAGACGCAAAAAAAAGAAAAAACAGCAUUGUAGUGCGUGAAGAUCCCCCGGUCGACAAACACCACCAGACCAUAUAGAGUAAAUCUUCCUUGUGUUCCAGAAGUAACACGCAGAAAACCAGAAAUAGCUCUAACGAAGCAACGGCAGCUUGAAUUCAACAAACAACAGAAAUAAGAAGAUCGCUGCUAAACUUUAAGGGAUAGAAAUGGAGUGCACACGUCUUCUUAUUCCCUGCAAUUUCUGAGGAAUCAACAUUGGUCAGACGCAAUCACAUACCACAAGCAGUCCAGGAAUUACGCAAUACACUAGUAUUUCGCGUCUUAUUUCAAUCAUACAACCAAUCUCGUAGCAACCAGUAGGGAACACUUACGAGCUACAGAGCUAGGUUCGAGUCUUACCCUUCAUGAUCCCAAAUCGAUGCAGAUUCCACCUCUGCUCGCUGCUCACAUGCCUCCCGGCGCACGGAAGGAUUUGGAGCUGGGGCAGCCGCCAGAGAGCGGCGGCGGCAAGGGGCGGCGGGAGGCGAGGGGCGGCGCGCGUGGAGGGCGGCGGCGGCGGCGCGGGAGGGUCGGCGAGGUACGGCGACGGGCGGCGGCGCUGGAGGAGCAAGAAAAGAA
rnacentral:lncRNA from 1 species